AAAAAAUAUUUUGGAUCAUAUUCAAGUUAAUUUAUAAGUCAUUUUAUAUUUAGUCACUCAAAAAAAUACUUUUUUUUGUAGAAAAUUAUUUUAGUUAUAAAAUUUUGAGCCAGUCUUAUACUAAAAUGAAUUAUGAUAUUAUAACAAGUAAAGUUGAAGAACGGCCUUAUUAUACGUGGCAUGAAAAAUGAGAGAUAAAUACUAAUUAAACACCACAUUAGAUUUGUUUAUGUCAGUAUUUAAUUGGGAAAGCGAUAAUUGAAUAUCAAUAGUUUUAUGUUACAUUUUUAAGU
rnacentral:misc_RNA from 1 species